GACAGAGGGGGCAAGCGUUGCUCGGAAUCACUGGGCGUAAAGGGCGCGUAGGCGGGAUGGCAAGUCGGUCGUGAAAUCCCUGGGCUCAACUCAGGGGGGUCGGCCGAUACUGCCGUUCUUGAGGGAUACAGAGGAGACUGGAAUUCCCGGUGUAGCGGUGAAAUGUGUAGAGAUCGGGAGGAACACCGGUGGCGAAGGCGGGUCUCUGGGCAUUCCCUGACGCUGAGGCGCGAAAGCGUGGGGAGCAAACGGG
rnacentral:rRNA from 1 species